rnacentral:rRNA from 1 species
GACGAACGCUGGCGGCGUGCUUAACACAUGCAAGUCGAACGGAAAGGCCCUGCUUUUGUGGGGUGCUCGAGUGGCGAACGGGUGAGUAACACGUGAGUAACCUGCCCUUGACUUUGGGAUAACUUCAGGAAACUGGGCUAAUACCGGAAAAGAGCUCCUGCUGCCUGGGGGGGGUUGGGAAGUUUGGGCGGGUGGGGAUGGACUCGCGGCUUAUCAGCUUGUUGGGGGGGUAGUGGCUUACCAAGGCUUUGACGGGUAGCCGGCCUGAGAGGGUGACCGGCCACAUUGGGACUGAGAUACGGCCCAGACUCCUACGGGAGGCAGCAGUGGGGAAUAUUGCACAAUGGGCGGAAGCCUGAUGCAGCAACGCCGCGUGCGGGAUGACGGCCUUCGGGUUGUAAACCGCUUUCGCCUGUGACGAAGCGUGAGUGACGGUAAUGGGUAAAGAAGCACCGGCUAACUACGUG